GACGAACGCUGGCGGCGUGCUUAACACAUGCAAGUCGAACGGAAAGGCUCCAGCUUGCUUGAGUACUCGAGUGGCGAACGGGUGAGUAACACGUGGGUAAUCUGCCCUGCACUCUGGGAUAAGCCUGGGAAACUGGGUCUAAUACUGGAUAUGACCUUUCUCCUUAUGGGGUUUGGUGGAAAGUUUUUCGGUGUAGGAUGAGCCCGCGGCCUAUCAGCUUGUUGGUGGGGUGAUGGCCUACCAAGGCGACGACGGGUAGCCGGCCUGAGAGGGUGAUCGGCCACAUUGGGACUGCGAUACGGCCCAGACUCCUACGGGAGGCAGCAGUGGGGAAUAUUGCACAAUGGGCGGAAGCCUGAUGCAGCGACGCCGCGUGAGGGAUGACGGCCUUCGGGUUGUAAACCUCUUUCAGCAGGGACGAAGCGUAAGUGACGGUACCUGCAGAAGAAGCACCGGCUAACUACGUG
rnacentral:rRNA from 1 species